CCUACGGGUGGCUGCAGUGGGGAAUAUUGGGCAAUGGAGGAAACUCUGACCCAGCAACGCCGCGUGAAGGAUGAAGGUUUUCGGAUUGUAAACUUCUGUCGCGAGGGAUGAAGAAUGACGGUACCUCGUAAGAAAGCCCCGGCAAACUACGUGCCAGCAGCCGCGGUAAUACGUAGGGGGCAAGCGUUAUCCGGAUUUACUGGGUGUAAAGGGAGCGUAGACGGCAAGGCAAGCCAGAAGUGAAAGGGCAGGGCUCAACCCUGUACAUGCUUUUGGAACUGUGGUGCUAGAGUGCAGGAGAGGUAAGUGGAAUUCCUAGUGUAGCGGUGAAAUGCGUAGAUAUUAGGAGGAACACCAGUGGCGAAGGCGGCUUACUGGACUGUAACUGACGUUGAGGCUCGAAAGCGUGGGGAGCAAACAGGAUUAGAUACCCUGGUAGUC
rnacentral:rRNA from 1 species